rnacentral:rRNA from 1 species
GACGAACGCUGGCGGCGUGCUUAGCACAUGCAAGUCGAACGGAAAGGCCCUGCUUUUGUGGGGUGCUCGAGUGGCGAACGGGUGAGUAACACGUGAGUAACCUGCCCUUGACUUUGGGAUAACUUCAGGAAACUGGGGCUAAUACCGGAUAGGAGCUCCUGCUGCAUGGUGGGGGUUGGAAAGUUUCGGCGGUUGGGGAUGGACUCGCGGCUUAUCAGCUUGUUGGUGGGGUAGUGGCUUACCAAGGCUUUGACGGGUAGCCGGCCUGAGAGGGUGACCGGCCACAUUGGGACUGCGAUACGGCCCAGACUCCUACGUGAGGCAGCAGUGGGGAAUAUUGCACAAUGGGCGGAAGCCUGAUGCAGCAACGCCGCGUGCGGGAUGACGGCCUUCGGGUUGUAAACCGCUUUCGCCUGUGACGAAGCGUGAGUGACGGUAAUGGGUAAAGAAGCACCGGCUAACUACGUG